CGGAGGAAAAGAAACUAACAAGGAUUCCCUCAGUAGCGGCGAGCGAAGCGGGAAGAGCCCAAUAUUACAUUCCCUUCUGGGAUUGAAUGGGUAUCUCUUGACUUUCAGUUUGGGAAAGUGGCAUGGAAAUGUCUACCGCGGAGGGUGAAAGUCCCGUCCAUCCCAAAAUUACGAUUGUCGCACAAGAGUAUACUUUUAAUGAGUCGGGUAGCUUGGGAAUGCUGCUCUAAGUUGGUGGUAAAUUUCAUCAAAGGCUAAAUACCAGUGAGAGACCGAUAGUGAACAAGUACCGCGAGGGAAAGAUGACAAGCACUUUGAAAAGAGGGUGAAAAGGACCUGAAACUGUUACGAGGGAAGCGGAUCGCGUUGGAUAAUAAAUGCAUGCUCAGCCUGCAAAGGUGUAUUCAUGUGUUUGUAGAACAUUCGUGGCUUUUCGAUGACUGAAUUUGAGUUGUCGGAGGGUGAGGGAUCUCCUUUAUGGAUACUGAGGACGAAUGAUCGUCAUCGCGAUACGACCCGUCUUGAAACACGGACCAAGGAGUCUAGCACAGGUGCGAGUCGAAGGGUGUAAAAACCUGAGGGCGCAGUGAAAGCGAUCUGAUAUAUUCAUUUAUAUCCCAAAACGAUCAGUUUGAGGCGGCAUAAAAUCGUUGAUUUUAGGUCCGACCUGGAGCAGUUGUGCUGGGACCCGAAAGAUGGUGAACUAUACCGGAGUAGGGCAAAGCCAGAAGAAAUUCUGGUGGAGGCUCGUAGCGGUGCUGACGUGCAAAUCGCUCGUCGAACUUGGGUAUAGGGGCGAAAGACUCAUCGAACCAUCUAGUAGCUGGUUCCCUCCGAAGUUUCUCUCAGGAUAGCGGGCCGACAGACGUUGUUUUGUGCGGUAAAGCGAAUGAUUAGCGUAAUUGGGGAAAAUAUUUCUUCGGACGAUUCUCAAACUUUAAAUGCGCAAGGGUACCGCUGCUUAAUUGAGCGGUGCCGUUAAAAACGUCGGCUUCGUGGGCCAUUUUUGGUAAGCAGAACUGGCGAUACGGGAUGAACCGUAAGUGUGGUUAAGGCGCCAAAUUGCCCGCUUAUAGAUCCCACAAAAGGUGUUGAUUCAUCGAGACAGCAGGACGGUGGCCAUGGAAGUCGGAAUCCGCCAAGGAGUGUGUAACAACUCACCUGCCGAAUGAAUUAGCCCUGAAAAUGGAUGGCGCUCAAGCGGGCAGCCGACACCACACCGUUUGUUUUAUAUAUAACAGAUGAGUAGGAGGGCGUGGUGGCCGUAUCGAAGCAUGCGUGCGAACGCUUGUGGAACGGCCACUAGUGCAGAUCUUGGUGGUAGUAGCAAAUAUUCAAGCGAGAUCCUUGAAGGGCGAAGCGGGGAAGGGUUCCACGCGAACAUUGAUUGGGCGUGGGUGAGUCGUUCCUAAGCCGAGUGGCCAUUGCUAAUUAUAGGCGAAAGGGAAGCGGGUUGAAAUUCCCGCACACGGAUGUGGAGGCGGUGACGCGCAUUGAGGCGAAGACAUCGGCGAUGGCGCUGGGCAGAGAUUUCUUUUCUGUUUAAUCAUUAUCAAGCUGUGUGGAAUCCGCUUGUCGGGAGAAACACGCCUGAACGGUAAGAGCGCCGGGGCUAUUCCGGCGUCCAGCUCGCCAACGACGAUCCUUGAAAAUUCGCCUAAUGUUCAGAUCCACGCCGUGGCGUACCGAUAACCGCAUCAGGUCCCCAAGGUGAACAGCCUCUGUCCAGUAUGAACAAUGCAGGUAAGGGAAGUCGGCAAAUUAGACCCGUAACUUUGGGAAAAGGGUUGGCUCUAGUGCCGCGCGGGAGUGGUUGCGCGUUUGUGGCCGCUCAUGGGGACUAGGGUGGGCUGUUCGCAAGAAUGGCCUGGCCAGGUCACCGAGAGUGAUCGCGGCGUGCGACGCCCGCAGCAUGCGGCAAACUAGAACUGCAACGGGCAAAGGGAAUCCGACUGUUUAAUUAAAACAAAGCAUUGCGAGGGCCGUGGCCGGUGAUGACGCAAU
rnacentral:rRNA from 1 species